UGUUAAAAAAUUCAUCCAUUCAUACAGUUAAAAUAGACGUGACUGAAGGAAUAUCUAGAUAGUGAGACUCCACAUGUACCUCAUGUUGAUGUAUUGAUUUUUAACAGUAGAAAUGGAUAGAAUUUUUAACA
rfam:Gossypium raimondii Chr08_contig_715, whole genome shotgun sequence.